rnacentral:rRNA from 1 species
CCUACGGGUGGCAGCAGUGAGGAAUAUUGGUCAAUGGGCGCGAGCCUGAACCAGCCAAGUAGCGUGAAGGAUGACUGCCCUACGGGUUGUAAACUUCUUUUAUAAAGGAAUAAAGUGAGGCACGUGUUCCUUUUUGUAUGUACUUUACGAAUAAGGAUCGGCUAACUCCGUGCCAGCAGCCGCGGUAAUACGGAGGAUCCGAGCGUUAUCCGGAUUUAUUGGGGUUAAAGGGAGCGUAGAUGGGUUGUUAAGUCAGUUGUGAAAGUUUGCGGCUCAACCGGAAAAUUGCAAUUGAUACUGGCAGACUUGAGUGCAGUUGAGGUAGGCGGAAUUCGUGGUGUAGCAGUGAAAUUCUUAGAUAUCACGAAGAACACCGAUUGCGAAGGCAGCUUACUAAACUACAACUGACGUUGAGGCGCGAAAGUGUGGGUAGCAAACAGGAUUAGAUACCCGAGUAGUC